rnacentral:rRNA from 1 species
UACGAAGGGGGCUAGCGUUGCUCGGAAUCACUGGGCGUAAAGGGUGCGUAGGCGGGUCUUUAAGUCAGGGGUGAAAUCCUGGAGCUCAACUCCAGAACUGCCUUUGAUACUGAGGAUCUUGAGUUCGGGAGAGGUGAGUGGAACUGCGAGUGUAGAGGUGAAAUUCGUAGAUAUUCGCAAGAACACCAGUGGCGAAGGCGGCUCACUGGCCCGAUACUGACGCUGAGGCACGAAAGCGUGGGGAGCAAACAGGAUUAGAUGACCCCGGUAGUCCC